CCAGGAGGAGGCAGGAAAUUUUGGACAGGCAUAGGUUGAAGAAGGCUAUUGAGGAGGCCGAGAGAGAGGGUAAGGUGAUAGACAAGAACGAGCUCAUGCACUCUCUGAAGAUCACGACGCCAUUGAACGCCGCCAACCAGACCAGCACGACACCCAGGCUCGAACCAAAACUAAUAGCUCGAGUAGUUCCACGAUAGGCAGCGCAGCCGGUGGCAAACCUAGACAACGUCCUAAGACAAUACAUAUCGAUUCUCAGGAAAUAUCUGAUAGUUUGGCACUGGUCAACAGUCGGGGGAAGAAGGGAUCGAGCAGUAAUCUGUCAGGCAUAGGAAGUCAAUCUGGGGGCACCAUCAGGAGGGAUUACUACAGGGGCUCGCAAGACAGCCUGUCUUAUCGAGAAUCUCCUGAGGAUGCACCUAGCAGGUCAACGAGUCAAGGAUUGGGCAGACGAGGCUCGUAUAAAACUUCUAGAGGUAAU